AGCCCGCUUGGCUAAGUGGUAUAGCGUCUCACUAGUAUCACUUGAGUUUCCCAAGCCUAUGAGAAGAUCAUCAGUUCGAUUCUGAUAGUGGGCAU